UACGUAGGUGGCAAGCGUUAUCCGGAUUCACUGGGUGUAAAGGGCGUGUAGGCGGGGACGCAAGUCAGAUGUGAAAACCACGGGCUCAACCUGUGGCCUGCAUUUGAAACUGUGUUUCUUGAGUACUGGAGAGGCAGACGGAAUUCCUAGUGUAGCGGUGAAAUGCGUAGAUAUUAGGAGGAACACCAGUGGCGAAGGCGGUCUGCUGGACAGCAACUGACGCUGAGGCGCGAAAGCGUGGGGAGCAAACAGG
rnacentral:rRNA from 1 species